rnacentral:rRNA from 1 species
UUAAUUGAAGAGUUUGAUCAUGGCUCAGAUUGAACGCUGGCGGCAGGCCUAACACAUGCAAGUCGAGCGGCAGCGACAUGAUAGAAGCUUCGGUGGAAAUCAUGGGCGGCGAGCGGCGGACGGGUGAGUAAUGCCUGGGAAUAUGCCCUGAUGUGGGGGAUAACUAUUGGAAACGAUAGCUAAU